GCAAAUAUGCCUACUUCUUCACUUUUUGUAGUUUCAAAAUGCACAAUUUACCCUGAUCAUCAUACAUCGCUUAAUAAUACCUUAAAACUCUCUGUUUCUGAUCUUCCUAUGCUUUCUUGCCAAUACAUUCAAAAGGGUGUUUUGUUAACUCAAUCUCCUUUUGAAUCUUCAAAUUCCCUUAUUUCCCAUCUCAAAACUGCACUUUCGAAGACCCUUUCUCAUUUCCCACCACUCGCCGGACGGUUAAUUACGGAUUCUGAUGGAUAUGUUUACAUCCUAUGUAACGAUGCCGGAAUUGAUUUUGUACAUACCAAAGCACCCCAUCUCAUGAUUUCAACUCUUGUUCCACAAAAUCAAUCUGAUAUUCCCAUUUAUUUCAGAAAAUUCUUCCAAUUUGAUAAAACACUUAGUUAUGCUGGACAUCAUAAACCCUUAAUGGCGAUUCAGGUUACGGAGCUAAACGACGCCGUGUUCAUCGGAUGUACCAUGAAUCACGCCGUCGUUGAUGGAACAUCCUUCUGGAAUUUCUUCAAUACUUUUGCAGAGUUUUCAAAAGGGGAGAUGAAGAUUACUAGGCAGCCGUGUUUUGGGCGUAAAACGGUAUUUGAUUCACCGGCGGUGCUUAAGUUCCCGGAAGGUGGACCGUCGGCGACUUUCUCCGGCGACGAGCCGUUGCGUGAGAAGAUCUUCCAUUUUAGCCGAGAAGCUAUUUUGAAGCUCAAGCUCAGAGCUAACAAAACGGGAGUUAACGGUAAAACUAACGGAAAGAUAACGCCAGUUAAUGAUGAGACGGGUUUGAAAAACGGCGCGGCUAUGAAGAAUUCGGCUUCGGAGAUUUCGUCGUUUCAGUCGUUAAGUGCUCAGCUGUGGAGAUCCGUGACGAGGGCUAGGAAAUUGGAAGGGAACAAAACGACGACGUUUAGGAUGGCGGUCAAUUGCCGACAUCGGUUGGAGCAACGGUUGGAGCCGCUCUAUUUUGGGAACGCGAUCCAAAGCAUCCCAACCAUUGCUUCGGUUAAGGAGUUGUUAUCUAACGACUUAUAUUGGAGUGCGAAUCAGCUACAUCAAAAUGUAGUGGCGCAUGGUGAUAUCACCGUGCGCCAAGGUGUAAAGGACUGGGAAAGUAACCCUAGGUUAUUUCCUUUAGGAAAUUUUGAUGGAGCUAUGAUUACUAUGGGAAGUUCACCUAGGUUUCCAAUGUACGAUAAUGAUUUUGGGUGGGGUCGACCGGUUGCGGUCAGAAGUGGCAUGGCUAAUAAAUUUGAUGGUAAGAUCUCCGCCUUCCCCGGACGAGAAGGAAAUGGAACCGUUGAUCUUGAAGUUGUUUUGGCACCCGAGACAAUGGUGGGACUUGAAGAGGACAUGGAAUUUAUGCAAUAUGUUUCUUAAUGGUGUUUAUUAAUGUGCAAAAAAAAUCGAAUCAAGGUGUUUAAAUGGAAAAUUUGUAAGUUUAUAUACAAUGCAAGUUUAAAUGGUCAUUUCGCAAUUGUGUUUUAUGUA
rnacentral:misc_RNA from 1 species